rnacentral:rRNA from 1 species
CAGCCGCCGCGGGAAUACGAAGGGGGCUAGCGUUGUUCGGAAUUACUGGGCGUAAAGCGCACGUAGGCGGACAUUUAAGUCAGGGGUGAAAUCCCGGGGCUCAACCCCGGAACUGCCUUUGAUACUGGGUGUCUAGAGUAUGGAAGAGGUGAGUGGAAUUCCGAGUGUAGAGGUGAAAUUCGUAGAUAUUCGGAGGAACACCAGUGGCGAAGGCGGCUCACUGGUCCAUUACUGACGCUGAGGUGCGAAAGCGUGGGGAGCAAACAGGAUUAGAGACCCCGGUAGUCCCUGUCUCUUAUAA